GACGAACGCUGGCGGCGUGCCUAAUACAUGCAAGUUGAGCGCUGAAGGUUGGUACUUGUACCAACUGGAUGAGCAGCGAACGGGUGAGUAACGCGUGGGGAAUCUGCCUUUGAGCGGGGGACAACAUUUGGAAACGAAUGCUAAUACCGCAUAAAAACUUUAAACACAAGUUUUAAGUUUGAAAGAUGCAAUUGCAUCACUCAAAGAUGAUCCCGCGUUGUAUUAGCUAGUUGGUGAGGUAAAGGCUCACCAAGGCGAUGAUACAUAGCCGACCUGAGAGGGUGAUCGGCCACAUUGGGACUGAGACACGGCCCAAACUCCUACGGGAGGCAGCAGUAGGGAAUCUUCGGCAAUGGACGAAAGUCUGACCGAGCAACGCCGCGUGAGUGAAGAAGGUUUUCGGGUCGUAAAACUCUGUUGGUAGAGAAGAACGUUGGUGAGAGUGGAAAGCUCAUCAAGUGACGGUAACUACCCAGAAAGGGGCGGCUAACUACGUG
rnacentral:rRNA from 1 species